rnacentral:rRNA from 1 species
GACAGAGGGUGCAAACGUUGUUCGGAAUUACUGGGCGUAAAGCGCGUGUAGGCGGCCCUGCAAGUCGGGUGUGAAAGCCCUCGGCUCAACCGAGGAAGUGCACUCGAAACUGCAGGGCUCGAGUCCCGGAGAGGAUAGUGGAAUUCUCGGUGUAGAGGUGAAAUGCGCAGAUAUCAGGAAGAACACCCGUGGCGAAGGCGGCUCUCUGGGACGGUACUGACGCUGAGACGCGAAAGCGUGGGGAGCGAACAGG